AAAGGAAUAGACGGGGGCCCGCACAAGCGGUGGAGCAUGUUGCUUAAUUCGAGGCAACGCGAAGAACCUUACCCGGGUUUGACAUGCAGCAGACUAUCGGUGAAAGCCGAUUUUCCUUCGGGACUGCUGCACAGAUGCUGCAUGGCUGUCGUCAGCUCGUGCCGUGAGGUGUUCGGUUAAGUCCGGCAACGAGCGCAACCCGUGCCGCCAGUUACCAUCGGUUAAAGCCGGGGACUCUGGCGGGACUGCCCGUGUCAAGCGGGAGGAAGGCGCGGAUGACGUCAAGUCCGUAUGGCUCUUACACCCGGGGCUGCAAACGUGCUACAAUGGCGGGUACAAAGGGGUGCCAGGCCGCGAGGUCGAGCCGAUCCCUAAAACCCGCCCCAGUUCGGAUCGCAGUCUGCAAUUCGACUGCGUGAAGUCGGAAUCGCUAGUAAAGGGGCAUCAGCAACGGCCCCUUGAAUACGUUCCCGGGCCUUGUACACACCGCCCGU
rnacentral:rRNA from 1 species